CUGUGAUCAAGUAGGCCAAGUGCGUUCCUUGUAGUGGGUGCCCAGUGUGCAGCGGCUGUGCACAGUAAGCUCCUUGCUGGUGUGCACACUCACGCUUGCAUGGUAGCCCCAAGCGACCUUGAAACCACUG
ensembl:snoRNA SNORA70 Small nucleolar RNA SNORA70